UAUUGCACAUUGGAAUGGUA
rnacentral:miRNA from 1 species